UACGUAGGGUGCGAGCGUUGUCCGGAAUUAUUGGGCGUAAAGAGCUCGUAGGCGGUCUGUCGCGUCGGUCGUGAAAACUUGGGGCUUAACCCUGAGCUUGCGGUCGAUACGGGCAUGACUGGAGUUCGGCAGGGGAGACUGGAAUUCCUGGUGUAGCGGUGAAAUGCGCAGAUAUCAGGAGGAACACCGGUGGCGAAGGCGGGUCUCUGGGCCGAUACUGAUGCUGAGGAGCGAAAGCGUGGGGAGCGAACAGG
rnacentral:rRNA from 1 species